AACGAACGCUGGCGGCAGGCCUAACACAUGCAAGUCGAGCGCCCCGCAAGGGGAGCGGCAGACGGGUGAGUAACGCGUGGGAAUCUACCUAGUGGUACGGAAUAACCCCGGGAAACUUGGAGUAAUACCGUAUACGCCCGAAAGGGGCAAGAUUUAUCGCCAUUAGAUGAGCCCGCGUUGGAUUAGCUAGUUGGUGGGGUAACGGCCCACCAAGGCGACGAUCCAUAGCUGGUCUGAGAGGAUGAUCAGCCACACUGGGACUGAGACACGGCCCAGACUCCUACGGGAGGCAGCAGUGGGGAAUAUUGGACAAUGGGCGCAAGCCUGAUCCAGCCAUGCCGCGUGAGUGACGAAGGUCUUCGGAUUGUAAAGCUCUUUUGGCGGGGACGAUAAUGACGGUACCCGCAGAAUAAGCCCCGGCUAACUUCGUGCCAGCCGCCGCAGUAA
rnacentral:rRNA from 1 species